rnacentral:rRNA from 1 species
CGGGGUUGUGGGAGCAAGAGCCCGGAGUUGGAUUCUGAGACACGAAUCCAGGCCCUACGGGGCGCAGCAGGCGCGAAAACUUUACAAUGCGGGCAACCGUGAUAAGGGAACCUCGAGUGCCUGUACAUGCAGGCUGUCUGGGUGUCUAAAACACACCCAAAGAAAGGGCCGGGCAAGACCGGUGCCAGCCGCCGCGGUAAUACCGGCGGCUCGAGUGGUGGCCACUUUUAUUGGGCUUAAAGCGUUCGUAGCUGGGUUGUUAAGUCUCUUGGGAAAUCUGGCAGCUUAACUGUCAGGCGUCUAAGAGAUACUGGCAAUCUAGGAACCGGGAGAGGUGAGGGGUACUUCGGGGGUAGGAGUGAAAUCCUGUAAUCCUCGAGGGACCACCUGUGGCGAAGGCGCCUCACCAGAACGGCUUCGACAGUGAGGGACGAAAGCUGGGGGAGCAAACCGGAUUAGAUACCCGGGUAGUCCCAGCCGUAAACGAUGCGCGUUAGGUGUGUCGAUGACCACGAGUCAUCGAGGUGCCGAAGGGAAACCGUGAAACGCGCCGCCUGGGAAGUACGGUCGCAAGGCUGAAACUUAAAGGAAUUGGCGGGGGAGCACCACAACAGGUGGAGCCUGCGGUUUAAUUGGACUCAACGCCGGGAAGCUCACCGGAUAGGACAGCAGAAUGAUUGCCGGGCUGAAGACUCUGCAUGACUAGCUGAGAGGAGGUGCAUGGCCGUCGUCAGUUCGUACUGUGAAGCAUCCUGUUAAGUCAGGUAACGAGCGAGACCCA